UACGUAUGGUGCAAGCGUUGCUCGGAAUCACUGGGCGUAAAGGGUGCGUAGGCGGGUAUGUAAGUCUGUUGUGAAAUACCCCAGCUUAACCUCGGUGUUGCGACGGAUACUGCAUAUCUGGAGUCCCGGAGAGGCUGGCGGAAUUUCAGGUGUAGCGGUGAAAUGCGCAGAUAUCGGGAGGAACACCGAUGGCGAAGGCAGUCUGCUGGACGAAGACUGACGCUGAGGUAAGAAAGCGUGGGGAGCAAACAGG
rnacentral:rRNA from 1 species